rnacentral:rRNA from 1 species
AGAAUCAACGCUGGCGGCGUGCCUAACACAUGCAAGUCGCACGAGAAAGGGACUUCGGUCCUGAGUACAGUGGCGCACGGGUGAGUAACACGCGAAUCAUCUACCUCCGAGUGGGGAAUAACUGAGAGAAAUCUUAGCUAAUACCGCAUAACACUUACGAGUCAAAGCAGCAAUGCGCUUGGAGAGGAGUUCGCGGCAGAUUAGUUAGUUGGCGGGGUAAUGGCCCACCAAGACGAUGAUCUGUA